rnacentral:rRNA from 1 species
AGUGAACGCUGGCGGCGUGCCUAACACAUGCAAGUCGAACGAUGAUUGCGGAGCUUGCUUCGCAUGAUUAGUGGUGCACGGGUGAGUAAUGCAUAGAUAAUGUGCCCCUUAGUUUGGGAUAGCCACUGGAAACGGUGAUUAAUACCAGAUACUCCUUCUCAUUAUAAGAUGAGUCGGGAAAGUUUUUUCGCUAAGGGAUCAGUCUAUGUCCUAUCAGCUAGUUGGUGAGGUAAUGGCUCACCAAGGCAAUGACGGGUAUCUGGUUUGAGAGGAUGAUCAGACACACUGGAACUGAGACACGGUCCAGACUCCUACGGGAGGCAGCAGUGAGGAAUAUUGCACAAUGGAGGAAACUCUGAUGCAGCAACGCCGCGUGGAGGAUGACGCAUUUCGGUGUGUAAACUCCUUUUAUUAGGGAAGAUUAUGACGGUACCCAAUGAAUAAGCACCGGCUAACUCCGUGCCAGCAGCCGCCGUAACAC